rnacentral:rRNA from 1 species
AGAGUUUGAUCCUGGCUCAGAACGAACGCUGGCGGCGCGUCUUAAGCAUGCAAGUCGGGCGGCAAGGGGGAGCAAUCCCCCCUAGAGCGGCGGACUGGUGAGUAACGCGUGGGUGACCUACCCUUUGGUUGGGGAUAGCCGGUAGAAAUAUCGGGUAAUACCGAAUACGUUUGCAGGGUUUUGACUUUGCAAGGAAAGGAGCUUUUGCUCCGCCGAAGGAUGGGCCCGCGUCCCAUUAGGCAGUUGGUGAGGUAAAGGCCCACCAAACCUGUGAUGGGUAGCCGGCCUGAGAGGGUGAUCGGCCACAUUGGGACUGAGAUACGGCCCAAACUCCUACGGGAGGCAGCAGCUAAGAAUAUUCCGCAAUGGACGAAAGUCUGACGGAGCGACGCCGCGUGGAUGAUGAAGGCCGAAAGGUUGUAAAAUCCUUUUGCCACUGAAGAAUAAGUGUGGAGUGGAAUGCCCGCAUGAUGACGUUAGGUGGUGAAUAAGCCCCGGCUAAUUACGUGCCAGCAGCCGCGGUAACACGUAAGGGGCGAGCGUUGUUCGGAAUUAUUGGGCGUAAAGGGCGCGUAGGCGGUUUUGUAAGCCUGAUGUGAAAUCCCACAGCUUAACUGUGGGUCUGCAUUGGGAACUGCAUUACUAGAGUCAUGGAGGGGAAAUUGGAAUUCCUAGUGUACCGGUGAAAUGGGUAGAUAUUAGGAAGAACACCAAUGGCGAAGGCAAAUUUCUAGCCAAUGACUGACGCUGAGGCGCGAAAGUGCGGGGAGCAAACAGGAUUA